CCUACGGGAGGCAGCAGUGAGGAAUAUUGGUCAAUGGUCGGGAGCCUGAACCAGCCAAGCCGCGUGAGGGAUGAAGGUACAGAGUAUCGUAAACCUCUUUUGUCAGGGAACAAAGGCGGGGACGUGUCCCCUGAUGCGUGUACCUUACGAACAAGCAUCGGCUAACUCCGUGCCAGCAGCCGCGGUAAUACGGGGGAUGCGAGCGUUAUCCGGAUUUAUUGGGUUUAAAGGGUGCGCAGGCGUGCUUUUAAGUCCGCGGUCAAAGCCCGGGGCCCAACCCCGGCCCGCCGUUGAAACUGGCAGUCGCGAGUUGGAGAGAAGUAUGCGGAAUGCGCGGUGUAGCGGUGAAAUGCAUAGAUAUCGCGCAGAACUCCGAUUGCGAAGGCAGCAUGCCGGCUCCACACUGACGCUGAGGCACGAAAGCGUGGGUAUCGAACAGGAUUAGAUACCCCUGUAGUC
rnacentral:rRNA from 1 species